AGCCUACGGGGCGCAGCAGUGGGGAAUAUUGCACAAUGGGGGAAACCCUGAUGCAGCAACGCCGCGUGAAGGAAGACGGUUUUCGGAUUGUAAACUUCUGUUCUUAGUGAAGAAGAGUGACGGUAGCUAAGGAGCAAGCCACGGCUAACUACGUGCCAGCAGCCGCGGUAAUACGUAGGUGGCAAGCGUUGUCCGGAAUUACUGGGUGUAAAGGGGGCGCAGACGGCAGCGCAAGCCAGGAGUGAAAGCCCGGGGCCCAACCCCGGGACUGCUCUUGGAACUGCGCGGCUGGAGUGCAGGAGGGG
rnacentral:rRNA from 1 species